CCCCAUACACCCCUCCGUUGCAACUCAACGGGUCCAUAGCAUCAGACACAAACUACCGAAUCCCAAGCUUGCUGUUCUUGGCCACCUUCGUGAGUGACGGAAGCCUCGCGAGCUCCGGCUUCUCGCUGACUCUCCAACAAUUCACCAGCGGAUGCUACAAGAGUCUAACAGCUCUCGACUCUAGCAUAGUCCAAAAAAGUCGCAGAUAUCCUCGAGCAUAUGCGAAAGCGGGAACUUACUGUGAAUACAGAAUUGCUACUUCUGAUCCAUCGAAACGGGUGAAAGUCUAUUUCAAAGUCUUUCGAGUGUGGAACCCUAGUUACGUCGCCAUCAACCCCUCUGGCGACGCCUACUAUGACAGCAACGUAGUUGUCCUGCAAGGUUCAUCGAGCCAGAGGUAUCAUGAGUCCAUCGCAGAUGUCCUCAGAAUCUACUUCCACAAUGAAGUCGCAACAGUUGGCUUCAAGUUUAACUACAAACAAGUGGUAUAAAAAGAUGCAAAUGCCACUCUGAUACCUUAUUUUGAGUCUGCUUUCUUACUGAAGCUACAUACGAAUGAAUAUAACACAAUGUUGAAGGUACUGAAUGUAGCGUAAAAUAAGAAAGGUAUCAGAAUGCUUUUUACUUCUUCUUCAAACUUUAUUUGUGACUUUCUCCUAUAAUGAAAAUUAAAGAAAGACACCUACACAUUGCUAUGACAUAUUUUCUCAAUACACUUUAAAUAAAGAACGAUGUUUAAGUUUUUCAACAAACUUUCACCUCAUAAAAAAUCUUAUGUAUACUAAUAUUAUUUCUUGUUAAUAAAAACAAUGAAAAAUUCAGAGGAAACAUGUACGAUGACUCUCACAAGGCUGCCAUGACAGUUGAAAAUUAUUGCAAUGUUGGCAGCGACCUCAUCCGGGAACUCUAUGGCCAAGACAUCCUCCAUUAGCACGUUGCCUGCUUUACUCUAAGGGAAGAUUUAUGUAUUUAUCAGAAAUGUUAUUGCUAAGCGAAUAAAAAAUGCGCUCAAUUAUG
rnacentral:lncRNA from 1 species